rnacentral:rRNA from 1 species
UACGAAGGGGGCUAGCGUUGUUCGGAAUCACUGGGCGUAAAGCGUGCGUAGGCGGUUUUAUAAGUCAGAAGUGAAAGCCUGGGGCUUAACCUCAGAAUUGCUUUUGAGACUGUAAAACUGGAGUACUGGAGAGGUUAGUGGAAUUCCGAGUGUAGAGGUGAAAUUCGCAGAUAUUCGGAGGAACACCAGUGGCGAAGGCGACUAACUGGACAGUAACUGACGCUGAGGCACGAAAGCGUGGGGAUCAAACAGG